AUAUGAGUGCGCUAAGCAAUAUACUACAGGACUCCACUUGAUACUGAUCGGUCAGAACAGUAGAGGUCCUGGCAUCAAGGGCGAAUGCAAACUACAUCUCCCGGGCACAAAAUGUUGCUCCCACUGUUGUCAUAGAACCGUAUCCAGACAUCCCUGUGGCUGACAGUGGAGAAAGCACCAUAGCCACCUGUCUAGCAAAAAAUGCAAAGCCAGCCGCUUCUAUACAUUGGAAAGGUCCUUUCAUUGUCAGUUUUACUCAGAGUGCCACACGUCCUGCUCCUGAUGGAACUGUAAACGUCUCAAGCCCACUUCGUCUAUCUGCAACCAGAGAGAUGAAUGGACAGUACGUUUACUGUGUGGUGGAACAUCCAGCACUGAAGACUGCUGAACAAUUGGGUUAUCAGUCAAACAUACAUUAUGUGCCAUCAGUUGCCAUUACAGUUGUGAAGACUGACCAAGAUAAUUUACAGCUGAAAUGUAAUGCAGAUGCUAAUCCUCCAUCUACAGGAAUCAGAUGGACAAGAAUGAAUGAUACAAACCCAAUAUUCAACAAAGUUGA